GCUUCAGGAUCUACUGCUGCAACGUGAGUAUCUUUUAAGUUAAAUCACCUUAAGUUAUGCCAAUUUGUGUUAUUACUGAAAGCAUGAAUUAUGAUUACUUAGAUAUGGAUGCUUUUGCAGUAAUAUCUUUUCCUUUAUCCCAUGCACUUAUUCUGCUAUUUAAGUAACACUGCUUUACAUUGCUCAUAGUCUAAGCAUUUGUUUUCAUAGUUUCUAAUAUGGUCAUUGGUAUGUGUAGCCUUGUUAAAUAUAUACUAUGGUGUAUUACAUACUUGUAUACAAAGAAAUGUAAACUUUCUUCGGUUAAUGAUAAAUUUUAUAUCUAUACCAUUUUGCAAAGGCCGUGUUUGAGUGUUUGAGUCUGCCAUACUUUCCCCAAAUAGAAAAUUAAUUACUCUAAAAAACUUUAUCAUAUAGUAAGUAGGAAUAUGAUAUUUAUUUUUAUUUUUAUUUUUAUUUUUUUUUGGAGCAAAAGUAAGGAUAUUUUGGAAAGAAGACUUUGUGCUUCCUCCUGAAACUUCCUCUCUAUCUUAACUAAUAUUUCAAUCAAUUCACUUCCCAACCCAAAACCUCCAACUUCUUUGCUAUUAUAACUGUCCUGUAUUUAUGAUAUAAGAUCCUUCAAGACUCUUUAACUUACCCAAUCCACCAUGGGAUUUCCUUGACCACCCUCCAUGGUGUGAUCUCUCGAGGGAGGGUGAAAAAUUUUGGGGGUUUUGCACUCAACUUCCAUAUUCAUUUCUUCCUAAUUAGAAAUUUCAGUUGAGAAUAUAUAAAAGAUCUCAUAUCUAGUAAACAUGGAUCUUAUAAGAACACGGCAAGUAUAUUUUACAUGGAUAAACCUUUUAUUCCGUCUUUUUUUUUCUAAUUUUACUUUUAUCUUUUUUACACUAAACAUGCCUUGCAUGUGCUUAUUUAUUAGCAUUGCUAAUAGAACCUUGUGUAUAAUAUGUUUUGAAAUUUAGAAGCAGUGAAGGUAUAGGAAACUUUAAGCUUCAAGUUUGGAAGGAGAAGGUUGUGGUUACCAUUGUCGUCAUCGCUAAAUGGUCUUACAUCAGCAAUGAUGUCUUCAGGUGGGGCUGUGAAGCCAGUGAAGGAGAAGGAGAAGCCCAAGCUGGCACUGGAGGCUCGGCUUAAGGCUGCGCUGCUGCUCACAUCCUCCAGGUCCAGCUUAAGCUGUGCGCUUCUCGAUUUCCUGAUAUGGUGCCCUCCUUUCCUUCCCGAUGCGGUGCGGCUCAGCGACUGCAUCCCACCUCCCAUUUCCAGUUGGUCUGACUUCGUCCUCAUGAUUCCAGGUGCUGCUGAAUCCAUCUUGAACCAAGUUUUAGUUACUAAAAAUUAGCAUGCAGUCACUUUGAAUUCAAGAAAAGGAACAGCUAUGAGAUACAUUGUAGUUGCUCCGUUAGGGGGAAGAAACUACAAAUAAAAAGGAAAAAGAACAUUCUUUGUUAAUAUUUUGGAGAUAGCCGAAGUUCUCUGUUUUCUUUCCUUGGUAGCAUGUCUGAUACACCAAGGCAUAUGUGCAAAAAUAUUAUCCAUCCUGAGCACCCCAAGAUAAAUAUCUUUUCAUAC